rnacentral:sRNA from 1 species
GCCAGGUGCUGUGAGGCAUGCCUGUAAUCCCAGCAGCUGAGGAGGCUGAGGCAGGAGGAUUGUGAGUUUAAAGCCAGCCUAAGCAAUUUAGUGAGACCCUGUCUCAA